rnacentral:misc_RNA from 1 species
AUCAUGAGGCACUUCAUGGAACUUGCGAGGACUCUGUUUUCAAGCUCAGCAGCGGUAGGGCUUCUACUUUGUGGAUGUGAUAUGUGCAUGGGUAAGGGUUAAUCAAUGACUGUUCUUCGACUUAAAGCAAGGAUACUGGGGAUUGCCAGGUUACUCUUUUGGCUUGUAUGGAUAUCUCUUAGAUACAUUUCCGAUACCAUUCUCUUGGGCAUCUAGUCUCUCAAAAGCCAGAGAUGCUUAAAGAGCUCUGCCUCGUGCUUCUCGCUGGCUCAGAUCUACUCUCCAUUAUGGCCUAUGUUCGCUUUUCUUGCUAAAGUGUCCUAUGGGUUGCUUUUAAUUCGAGGGCGAAGCCGUGUUUAGAAUCAUUGUUUGUGGCUUGUUGUGUUUCCGUUAGGUUGUUAUUUAUUGUUUUUCGUAGGCUCCCGGUGGCUCAGCGACGAGUGGAAGGGUGUUGUACAGGUGGCGUUGUCUUCCACAUCCGACUCCUGCCUCAUUUUUCGAAUCAAGCCAAAUUCUAGGGUUUGAUUUUUUGGGAGCUCAGAUCCAUCUUUAAUUGGGUUCUGGAUUGGGCAACUUGUUAGGGCUUUUUUAUACUUUCAGGUCUUGGUUUAUUUAGUUUUGGACUGAGUUAAAAGAUCAAUGGAUUGAGCCAAGUUAGAUUGAGUUUGAUCUGUCCCGUAUUUGCUAUGUUGUAAUGGAUAAUAG